UACGUAGGGUGCGAGCGUUGUCCGGAAUUAUUGGGCGUAAAGAGCUCGUAGGCGGUGUGUCGCGUCGGCCGUGAAAACCUGCAGCUUAACUGUGGGCUUGCGGUCGAUACGGGCAUCACUGGAGUUCGGCAGGGGAGACUGGAAUUCCUGGUGUAGCGGUGAAAUGCGCAGAUAGUCAGGAGGAACACCGGUGGCGAAGGCGGGUCUCUGGGCCGUAACU
rnacentral:rRNA from 1 species